CAGCAGCCGCGGUAAUACCGGCGGCCCGAGUGGCGGCCACUAUUAUUGGGCCUAAAGCGUCCGUAGCCGGGUUGGGAAGUCCUCCGGGAAAUCUGGCCGCUUAACGGUCAGAAUGCCGGAGGAUACUCCCAGCCUAGGGAGCGGGAGAGGCCGAGGGUAUUCCCGGAGUAGGGGUGAAAUCCUAUAAUCCCGGGAGGACCACCUGUGGCGAAGGCGCUCGGCAGGAACGCGUCCGACGGUGAGGGACGAAGGCCAGGGGAGCAAACCGGACUAGAUACCCGGGUAGUCCUGGCGGUAAACGAUGCGGACUUUGUGUCGGCCAAGCUAUGAGCUUGUCCGGUGCCGGAGGGAAACCGUUAAGUCCGCCGCCUGGGGAGUACGGCCGCAAGGCUGAAACUUAAAGGAAUUGGCGGG
rnacentral:rRNA from 1 species